AGGUUGUGAUGCGGGCAUUCCCUUAACAAGUUCUUGAAUCUCUUCUACACCUCAAAUAGUGAUUCAGUAUCUAACUAUGCAUAAGCGGAAAUCUCAUGACACAACUU